rnacentral:rRNA from 1 species
CCUUACCCAACAAUUCCCUCUUCCUUCACGAACCCUGUUUAUAAUAUUGAAUAACCUUAUAAAAUUAUAAGAGAUAUAAUGUUAAAACUAGUAACAUGAAGACAGCCCUUCUCCAUAAUGCAAGCAAACACCAAAACGGACUAACCAUUGGCUUUUAACGUCCAUGAACCCAACCUAGCAACACCCCCUGCGAAAACCCUACGCCCAUCCCACGUUAACCUUACACUAGAGCAUUACUGGAAAGAUAAAAAGAAAAAGAAGGAACUCGGCAAACCUAGAUCCCGCCUGUUUACCAAAAACAUCGCCUCUUGAAAUUCUGCUCUUAUAAGAGGUCCAGCCUGCCCAGUGAUAUUUUUAACGGCCGCGGUACUCUGACCGUGCGAAGGUAGCAUAAUCACUUGUUCUUUAAAUGAGGACUAGUAUCAACGGCAUCACGAGGAUUUUACUGUCUCCUUUUUCCUAUCGGUGAAACUGAUCUCCCCGUGAAGAAGCGGGGAUAAUUCUAUAAGACGAGAAGACCCCAUGGAGCUUUAAACCCAGAGACACCUCAAACCCCCCUUUCCAUAAAAGUUUUUAUGUGCUGUCCUCUGGUUUUAGGUUGGGGUGACCGCGGAGUAAAACUUAACCUCCACAACGCACGGAACUUCUUCCUUAUCUAAGAGCAACAUCUCAAAGAAUUAACAUAUUGACGUAAAAUGAUCCAAUAACUUUUAUUUUGAUCAACGAACCAAGUUACCCUGGGGAUAACAGCGCAAUCCAUUUCCAGAGCCCCUAUCGACAAAUGGGUUUACGACCUCGAUGUUGGAUCAGGGUAUCCCAGUGGUGCAGCCGCUACUAAUGGUUUGUUUGUUCAACAAUUAAAACCCUACGUGAUCU